CUGAGUUACAAACUCCAAACCCUUGUGAACCUACCAACGUUGCUUCGGCGUGCCGUGCCGGGCGCGGCUCCGGCCGUGACCCGGGUCACAGGCGGCCGCCGGGGACCCAAACCUCUGUAUUCCAUAGCGGACCUUCUGAGUGGCAUAAGCAAAUAAUUA
rnacentral:misc_RNA from 1 species